ACCAAAAUAAAAUUUCGCACAGAUAAGUUUAUUUUUAGAGUAUUGUCGUAUCGGUGCGUUGCUAUCAAGUGAAUGGAUAUAAGAAAGUGCUCCCCAGUGUUGGGGCCCGCCUCAGCUAUUUUACGAGCUGUAUUUCACAUUUUCACAGGUCACCGCCACGCACACAAUCACACAUAGCACGCCACACGCACACGAACAUAAACACAUUUUUGUCCAAGGGAGCGCGACAAUUGCCUGAAGGCCGGCCGGCCUUGUGGGACAUUUUGCAUGAAGAGGAUGCGAAGCGAUGGUCCGGCACUGAAGGAGCAGCAGGAGUAGGAAACCUAAUGAGCGCGUACCGCCCACGCAAUGAAAUGGUCCUCCCCACACACACACACACUGGUCAAUUUUGGGCUGCUGUACCGGAUCUCCGGGGGCAUAUCUGUCAGAAGGCGCUGAGCGCGAAGCAGGAGGAUGGACUCUCUGUGAUGUGCAGAUGGAGCAGCGCGAGAGCAGGCACUGAGAAUAAAAAAAUAAAAAUAAAAACUAUAGCACAAUUUGGAACAAGUGG